rnacentral:rRNA from 1 species
UACAGAGGGGGCAAGCGUUGUUCGGAAUUACUGGGCGUAAAGGGCGCGUAGGCGGCCUGCUAAGUCGAACGUGAAAUCCCCGAGCUCAACUCGGGAACUGCGUCCGAUACUGGUUGGCUUGAAUCCGGGAGAGGGAUGCGGAAUUCCAGGUGUAGCGGUGAAAUGCGUAGAUAUCUGGAGGAACACCGGUGGCGAAGGCGGCAUCCUGGACCGGCAUUGACGCUGAGGCGCGAAAGCCAGGGGAGCAAAGCGGGG